GCUUGUUGGUGAGGUAAUGGCUCACCAAGGCGACGACGGGUAGCCGGCCUGAGAGGGUGACCGGCCACACUGGGACUGAGACACGGCCCAUACUCCUACGGGAGGCAGCAGUGGGGAAUAUUGCACAAUGGGCGAAAGCCUGAUGCAGCAACGCCGCGUGAGGGAUGAAGGCCUUCGGGUUGUAAACCUCUUUUAGCAGGGAAGAAGCGAAAGUGACGGUACCUGCAGAAAAAGCACCGGCUAACUACGUGCCAGCAGCCGCGGUAAUACGUAGGGUGCAAGCGUUGUCCGGAAUUAUUGGGCGUAAAGAGCUCGUAGGCGGUUUGUCUGCGUCUGCUGUGAAAACCUGAGGCUCAACCUC
rnacentral:rRNA from 1 species